rnacentral:lncRNA from 1 species
CUCAGUUGUGGUCAGACUCCUCCUCUGCUUCACGGAGCCACUUGAAGAAGGCUGUGACAGAUUUAAGGGCCACACCCUUGCCCUGCUGCUCAGCGGGGUCCUUGCUACUCUCCCAACUGUAGAAGGCAUCCUCCUUCACCACGUCCUCGUCAUACAGUGCGUCAAAGAACAUCCGCAAAGGGCCUGGAGGGCGUAGAGCGCCUGUAGCUCCUUCUGCUCGUCACACAGGUAUUUCUGCAGCAGCUUCGCUCGCGCUUUCAGCA